UACGAAGGGGGCUAGCGUUGUUCGGAAUUACUGGGCGUAAAGCGCACGUAGGCGGAUAUUUAAGUCAGGGGUGAAAUCCCGGGGCUCAACCCCGGAACGGCCUUUGAUACUGGGUAUCUUGAGUGUGGUAGAGGUGAGUGGAAUUGCGAGUGUAGAGGUGAAAUUCGUAGAUAUUCGCAGGAACACCAGUGGCGAAGGCGGCUCACUGGACCACAACUGACGCUGAGGUGCGAAAGCGUGGGGAGCAAACAGGG
rnacentral:rRNA from 1 species